AUGGCCAUACCACAAUGAAAACACCAGUUCUCAUCCUAUCACCAAAGUUGAACAAUGUCGGACCCGGUCAGUACUUGGGAGGGUGCCACAUGGGGUGCUGUAGGCU